GCAAACUUGGUCAUUUAGAGGAAGUAAAAGUCGUAACAAGGUCUCCGUAGGUGAACCUGCGGAGGGAUCAUUAACGAAUGGUCUCCGUACCUUCAAACACCUCAAAACCGGUGGACAUUUGAAAACGUGCUUCGGCGCAGUCGCGCCGUCUUUAUGCCGUAAAUCCGUCGUUCGUGUCUGAAUGCAAAUGAAAAAGAAUCAAAACUUUCAACAAAGGAUCUCUUGGCUCUCGCAUCGAUGAAGAACGCAGC
rnacentral:misc_RNA from 1 species